GUAGCUGACGCGAGUUUUUGCGCGACACUCACCAAACAGUCUCAGUUCGGAUUGAAGUCUGCAACUCGACUUCAUGAAGUUGGAAUCGCUAGUAAUCGCGAAUCAGCAUGUCGCGGUGAAUACGUUCUCGGGGUUUGUACACACCGCCCGUCAAACCACGAAAGUUGGCAAUACCCAAAGCCGGUGGCCUAACUUCGCAAGAAGAGGGAACCGUCUAAGGUAGGGUCGAUGAUUGGGGUUAAGUCGUAACAAGGUAUCCCUACCGGAAGGUGGGGAUGGAUCACCUCCUUUCUAAGGAAACAAUUAUCAUCUUCAGUUUUGAGAGACUUAAGAAAGUUUUUCAUUGUAACUUGCUUGCAAAUUGUAUUUGCAACAUUUUAAUCUUUUUAAGAUUAAGGGCCUAUAGCUCAGUUGGUUAGAGCACACGCCUGAUAAGCGUGAGGUCGGUGGUUCGAGUCCAUUUAGGCCCACCAAAACCACAAAUA
rnacentral:misc_RNA from 1 species